GUGCUUGAAAUUGUCGGGAG
rnacentral:snRNA from 1 species